rnacentral:piRNA from 1 species
UAAGAGGAGACUAAUGGCCUGCCAG